rnacentral:rRNA from 1 species
GUCUUAUUGAUGAUAAUUUUAAGUCUGGUCUGCCCAGUGAUUUAUUAAAUGGCUGCAGUAUUUUAACUGUACAAAGGUAGCAUAAUAAUUAGUUUCUUAAUUAGGAACUGGAAUGAAAGAUUGAACGAGACAAUAACUGUCUUAAUAUAAAUUUAAGAAUUUUAUUUUUAAGUUAAAAAGCUUAAAUUUUUUUAAAAGACGAGAAGACCCUAUAGAAUUUUAUAUUAUUUUUAUAUUUAAAUUAUAGUAUAUAAAUUUUAAAUUUUUAUUAAGAUUAUUUAGUUGGGGUGAUUAAAAAAUUUAUUUAACUUUUUUUAUUUAUGACAUUAAUUUAUGUAUGAUUGAUCCAAUAUUUUUGAUUAUAAGAUUAAAUUACCUUAGGGAUAACAGCGUAAUUUUUUUAGAGAGUUCUUAUCGAUAAAAGAGAUUGCGACCUCGAUGUUGGAUUAAAGUUAAUUUUUAAUGCAGAAGUUAGAAUAUUAGGUCUGUUCGACCUUUGAAACUUU